rnacentral:rRNA from 1 species
AUAGCGUAUAGUACUGUGAAGGAAAGGUGAAAAGGACCCCGGGAGGGGAGUGAAAUAGAACCUGAAACCCUGUGCUUACAAGCACCGAGAGCCCGUCAAUGGGUGAUCGGGUACUUUUUGUAGAACGGUCCGGCGAGUAUAUGGAACAAGCAAGGUUAAGGUCUUCAGGACUGAAGCCGAAGGGAAACCAAGUCUUAAUAGGGCGCACAGUUUGUUUCAUAUGACCCGAAACCGGGUGACCUAUCCAUGUCCAGGUUGAAGUGGCGGUAAAACGCCAUGGAGGACCGAACCAACCCCCGUUGAAAAGGUGGUGGAUGAGGUGUGGAUAGCGGAGAAAUUCCAAUCGAACUCGGAUAUAGCUGGUUCUCCCCGAAAUAGCUUUAGGGCUAGCGUUGUGUUAGAUUACCGGAGGUAAAGCACUGAAUAGGCUAGGGGGCGAGAGUCUACCGACCCUUAUCAAACUCUGAAUGCCGGAUAAUUGAUGCACAGCAGUCAGACAGUGUGAGAUAAGUUUCAUUGUCAAAAGGGAAACAGCCCAGACCCACAGCUAAGGUCCCAAAUGUAUGUUAAGUGGAAAAGGAUGUCCAGUUGCACAAACAACCAGGAUGUUGGCUUAGAAGCAGCCACACAUUCAAAGAGUGCGUAACAGCUCACUGGUCGAGUGACCGGGCGCCGAAAAUGUAACGGGGCUAAACAUACAACCGAAGCUUGGGCUGCACAGCAAUGUGCGGGGUAGGGGAGCGUUGUGUGCGGGGAGAAGCACGAGCGGAAGCGCGUGUGGACUGCACAGAAGUGAGAAUGCCGGAAUGAGUAGCGCGAAUUAUGUGAGAAUCAUAAUGGCCGAAAGCCUAAGGUUUCUGGAGGAAGGUUCGUCCGCUCCAGGUUAGCCGGGAGCUAAGGUGAGGCCGAAAGGCGUAGCCGAUGCACAUACGGUGGAGAUUCCGUAGCCAUCAAAAGAUUUAAGCAGAGGGACACAGUAGAAGGGUACAUGCCGGGCGUUGGUAGCCCCGGUUGCAAGGGACCGAAAUUAGAGUAGGGAAGAUGGACUUGGAUACUGGCGAGAAAAGCUCUGUGGAUAUCUGCGAUGCCCGUACCGCAAACCGACACAGGUAGGUAGGAAGAGGAUUCUAAGGCCAACGGGAGAAGGGUUGUUAAGGAACUCGGCAAGUUGACCCCGUAACUUCGGGAGAAGGGGUGCUCUGGAAACAGAGCCGCAGAGAAUAGGUCCAGGCAACUGUUUAGCAAAAACACAGCUCUCUGCUAAAUCGAAAGAUGAUGUAUAGGGGGUGACGCCUGCCCGGUGCUGGAAGGUUAAGAGGAGGAGUGAGAGCCCCGAAUCGAAGCCCCAGUAAACGGCGGCCGUAACUAUAACGGUCCUAAGGUAGCGAAAUUCCUUGUCAGGUAAGUUCUGACCCGCACGAAAGGCGUAAUGAUCUGGACACUGUCUCAACAGCCCACCCGGCGAAAUUGUAGUACCGGUGAAGAUGCCGGUUACCCGCGACAAGACGGAAAGACCCCAUGGAGCUUUACUGCAGCCUAAUAUUGGAUUUCGGUAUUUCAUGUACAGGAUAGGUGGGAGACUGGGAAACACAGGCGUCAGCUUGUGCGGAGUCGCCCUUGGGAUACCACCCUUGAAGUGCUGGAAUUCUAACCUGUGGCCAUGAAUCUGGUCAGGGGACAUUGUUAGGCGGGCAGUUUGACUGGGGCGGUCGCCUCCAAAAGAGUAACGGAGGCGCUCAAAGGUUCGUUCAGCACGGACGGAAAUCGUGCAUUGAGUGUAAACGCAUAAACGAGCCUAACUGCGAGACCGACGGGUCGAGCAGUAACGAAAGUUGGAGUUAGUGAUCCGGUGGUAUGUGAGUGGAAAUGCCAUCGCUCAACGGAUAAAA